AAUUGCAAAAAACUUUAAUGGACUUGAAUAGAAAAAUCUAUGGAUUGAGUUCCGAGUGACCCACCAAAUGCAGAACUCUGAGCUCCAAAAGGGCUGCUUCCAAACGCAGAAGUUGACUGACCAAACGCAGAAGUUGAUGCAAAGCUAAAUGAUGGAGAACUAGAUGCCCCAAAAUUUUGAGUAUUUGAAGCCCCAAAUGCAGGAGAGCUUGCAGCUCCAAAUGCUGGAGUGCUUGCAGCACCAAAAGAUGGAGUAGAUGAGCCGAAAACAGAAGUAUUUGAUGUUCCAAAAGCUGGGGUAU
rnacentral:lncRNA from 1 species